GCGCCCGUAGCUCAACUGGAUAGAGUGCCGGCCUACGAAGCCAGAGGUUACAGGUUCGACUCCUGUCGGGCGUA
rfam:Planctomycetes bacterium GWF2_41_51 gwf2_scaffold_3239, whole genome shotgun sequence.